UAGGGAAUCUUCCGCAAUGGACGAAAGUCUGACGGAGCAACGCCGCGUGAGUGAAGAAGGAUUUCGGUUCGUAAAACUCUGUUGUUAGGUAAGAAAAAAUGUAUAGUAACUAUAUACAAAAGAGACGGUACCUAACCAGAAAGCCACGGCUAACUACGUGCCAGCAGCCGCGGUAAUACGUAGGUGGCAAGCGUUGUCCGGAAUUAUUGGGCGUAAAGCGCGCGCAGGUGGUUUAGAAAGUCUGAUGUGAAAGCCCACGGCUCAACCGGGGAGGGUCAUUGGAAACUAAUAAACUUGAGUGCAGGAGAGAAAAGUGGAAUUCCUAGUGUAGCGGUGAAAUGCGUAGAGAUUAGGAGGAACACCGGUGGCGAAAGCGGCUUUUUGGCGUGCAACUGACGCUGAGGCGCGAAAGCGUGGGGAGCAAACAGG
rnacentral:rRNA from 1 species